GGCACCUGCAUCCGGACUAUGGAAAAGCUGUGGUGACCCCAAGCUGCCAUGGUGGGGACCUAAAUCACAAUGUCAUCAUAAGAAGAUAGAGAGAGACACAAGGAAUGCACAAAGAAAAGGCACGUGAAGACACAGGGAGAAGGCAGCCAUAUGCAAGCCAGUGAGAGAAGCCUGCCAGCACGGUGCAUUGCUCCUGAAGGCCCAGCCUCCAGAAUUGUGAGAAAACAAAUCUCUGUUUCUGAAGACCAGCAAGGAAAUCAACUCACCCUUAAAGACUAGGUACAACAAUGGGGAAAGAAGGACAUAUACUACAGAAGAAGAAAGAGAAGAGAUCAAGGAAGAAAAGGAGUGGAGAAGUGGAGAAGAGAAAAUAGAAGAGGAGGAGAAAAUGAAAGAGUGGUAACAAUAACACGGUUAAAAUAACUUCUCAUCGUUAAUCAGAAAUUCACUGAUCUUGUUAUGUAUAAAAAUAACUUAUAAUUAUCUAUUUUGUUUUUAAUCUCUUAUAAAUAAAAUAUUAUAAAUAUUCCUUCCUCUCUGUGGCUACUGAAUUGCAAUCUCUUAUCAGUAACUUUCAUUCACUAAAACUUAUUUAAAACCAUAUGUCAAAGGGAAUAAGUUGACAAAACCAUGGCCCUGUGAGAAAGGGUAGAUUGAGUAUGGUGUAGAUGACAUCACGAGUGACAAGUGGAGUCAAUGCUAUAUCCUUUGUUCCAAAGAUUUUUGUUUUGUUUUAAUUAAAUGAUAUGAUUUAUUAUUUGUAAAUACCAUAUAACUAUAUGUAUAUGCCUAAUUAUCCUAACUUUAGAGAAACUAGGAAAUAAUUACAGCUGAUUUUUUUGUGUGAAAUUAUAUAAAAAAGAAAACAAUGGGGUAAAGUGUUCAAAGAAAAUAACCAGCAACCUAGAAUUUUAUAGCCAGUGAUAUUAUCCUUCAAAAAUGAGGAGAAAAAAUACCUCUUCAGAACAGAGAAAAUAUAUUAUCAGCAGACAUUUCUUUUAAAAAUGUUUUAAAAUCUUCUUCAGAAAGGAGAAAAAUAACAUAGGUCAGAAACUUAGAUCUAUGAAGGGGUGGCCUGCCCCUCCACACCUGUGGGUAUUUCUAGUCGGCUGGGACGAGAGACUGAGAAAAGAAAUAAGACACAGAGACAAAGUACAGAGAAACAAUAGUGGGCCCAGGGGACCGGCACUCAGUACACCAAGGACCUGCACUGGCACCAGCCUCUGAGUUCCCUCAAUUUUUAUUGAUUAUUGUUUUUCAUUAUUUCAGCAAAAAGGAAUGUAGCAGGAGAGCAGGGUGAUAAUAAGGAGAAGGUCAACAAAUUACACGUGAGCAAAAGAAUCUAUAUCAUAAUUAAGUUCAAGGGAAAGUACUAUGCCUGGACGUGCACGUAGGCCACAUUUAUGUUUCUCUCCACCCAAACAUCUCAGUGGAGUAAAGAAUAACAAGGCAGUAUUACUGUAAACAUGUCUCACCUCCCGCCACAGGGCAGCUUUUCUCCUAUCUCAGAGUUGAACAAAUGUACAAUCAGGUUUUACACCGAGACAUUCAGUUCCCAGGGGCAAGCAGGAGAUAGUGGCCUUCCUCCAUCUCACCUGCAAGAGGCUUUCCUUUUUUACUAAUCCUCCUCAGCACAGACCCUUUAUGGGUGUCGAGCUGGGGGACAGUCAGGUCUUUCUCAUCCCACGAGGCCAUAUUUCAGACUAUCACAUGGGGAGAAAUCUCGGACAAUACCCCGCUUUCAAGGGCAGAGGUCCCUGCGGCUUUCCACAGUGUAUUGUGCCCCUGGUUUAUUGAGACUAGAGAAUAGCCAUGACCUUUACCAAGUAUACUGCUUGUAAACAUUUUGUUAACAAGGCACGUCCUGCACAGCCCUAGAUCCCUUAAACCUUGACUUCACACAGCACAUGUUUUUGUGAGCUCCAGGUUGUGUCAAAGUGGCUGGGGCAAAGUGGCUGGGGCAAAGCUACAAAUUAACAACAUCUCAGCAAAGCAACUGUUUAAAGUACAGGUCUUUUUCAAAAUGGAGUCUCUUAUGUCUUUCCUUUCUACAGAGACACAGUGACAGUCUGAUCUCUCUUUCUUUUCCC